rnacentral:misc_RNA from 1 species
AACGCACGAGACCUGCGGACCUGCGGAGGGAUCAUUACCGAGUGAGGGCCCUCUGGGUCCAACCUCCCACCCGUGUUUACCGUACCCUGUUGCUUCGGCGGGCCCGCCCUCAGCGGCCGCCGGGAUGGCCCCUUGGGCCUCCGGGCCCGCGCCCGCCGAAGACACCUGUGAACGCUUCUAUUGAAGAUUGCAGUCUGAGUGAUUUUUUUCCAAAUCAAUCAAAACUUUCAACAAUGGAUC